rnacentral:rRNA from 1 species
CAACGCCGCGUGAGGGAUGAAGGCCUCUGGGCUGUAAACCUCUUUUAUCAAGGAAGAAGAACUGACGGUACUUGAUGAAUAAGCCACGGCUAAUUCCGUGCCAGCAGCCGCGGUAAUACGGGAGUGGCAAGCGUUAUCCGGAAUUAUUGGGCGUAAAGCGUCCGCAGGCGGUUUUGCAAGUCUGUYGUUAAAGCGUGGAGCUCAACUCCAUUUCAGCGAUGGAAACUGUAAGACUCGAGUGUGGUAGGGGCAGAGGGAAUUCCCGGUGUAGCGGUGAAAUGCGUAGAUAU